rnacentral:rRNA from 1 species
CUCAGAUUGAACGCUGGCGGCAGGCCUAACACAUGCAAGUCGAACGGUAACAGGAAGAAGCUUGCUUCUUUGCUGACGAGUGGCGGACGGGUGAGUAAUGUCUGGGAAACUGCCUGAUGGAGGGGGAUAACUACUGGAAACGGUAGCUAAUACCGCAUAACGUCGCAAGACCAAAGAGGGGGACCUUCGGGCCUCUUGCCAUCGGAUGUGCCCAGAUGGGAUUAGCUAGUAGGUGGGGUAACGGCUCACCUAGGCGACGAUCCCUAGCUGGUCUGAGAGGAUGACCAGCCACACUGGAACUGAGACACGGUCCAGACUCCUACGGGAGGCAGCAGUGGGGAAUAUUGCACAAUGGGCGCAAGCCUGAUGCAGCCAUGCCGCGUGUAUGAAGAAGGCCUUCGGGUUGUAAAGUACUUUCAGCGGGGAGGAAGGGAGUAAAGUUAAUACCUUUGCUCAUUGACGUUACCCGCAGAAGAAGCACCGGCUAACUCCGUGCCAGCAGCCGCGGUAAUACGGAGGGUGCAAGCGUUAAUCGGAAUUACUGGGCGUAAAGCGCACGCAGGCGGUUUGUUAAGUCAGAUGUGAAAUCCCCGGGCUCAACCUGGGAACUGCAUCUGAUACUGGCAAGCUUGAGUCUCGUAGAGGGGGGUAGAAUUCCAGGUGUAGCGGUGAAAUGCGUAGAGAUCUGGAGGAAUACCGGUGGCGAAGGCGGCCCCCUG